rnacentral:rRNA from 1 species
UACAGAGGUCUCAAGCGUUGUUCGGAUUCAUUGGGCGUAAAGGGUGCGUAGGUGGCGCCGUAAGUCGGGGUGUGAAAUUUCGGAGCUUAACUCCGAAACUGCAUUCGAUACUGCGGUGCUUGAGGACUGGAGAGGAGACUGGAAUUCAUGGUGUAGCAGUGAAAUGCGUAGAGAUCAUGAGGAAGACCAGUGGCGAAGGCGGGUCUCUGGACAGUUCCUGACACUGAGGCACGAAGGCCAGGGGAGCAAACGGG